rnacentral:rRNA from 1 species
UACGGAGGGUGCAAACGUUGUCCGGAUUUACUGGGCGUAAAGAGCGUGUAGGUGGUUUGGUAAGUGAGUGAUUAAAGACCGAUGCUUAACAUCGGGAAUGUUGCUUAUACUGCCAGACUAGAGGAAAGCAGGGGCAAGCGGAACUAUAGGUGUAGGGGUGAAAUCCGUAGAUAUCUAUAGGAACACCAAUGGCGAAGGCAGCUUGCUGGGCUUUUUCUGACACUGAGACGCGAAAGCGUGGGGAGCGAUCGGG